UACGUAGGGGGCAGGCGUUGUCCGGAAUGACUGGGCGUAAAGCGCGCGCAGGCGGUCUUUUAAGUCUGAGGUGAAAGGCUGGGGCUCAACCCUGGCAUCGCCUUGGAAACGGGAAGACUUGAGGACUGGAGAGGCAAGGGGAAUUCCACGUGUAGCGGUGAAAUGCGUACAGAUGUGGAGGAAUACCAGUGGCGAAGGCGCCUUGCUGGACAGUGCCUGACGCUGAGGCGCGAAGGCGUGAGGAGCAAACAGGAUUAGAUACCCUGGUAGUCCACGCGGUAAACGAUGAGUGCUAGGUGUCGGAGGGUACCACCUCCGGUGCCGAAGGAAACCCAAUAAGCACUCCGCCUGGGGAGUACGGUCGCAAGACUGAAACUCAAAGGAAUUGACGGGGGCCCGCACAAGCAGUGGAGCAUGUGGUUUAAUUCGAAGCAACGCGAAGAACCUUACCAGGACUUGACAUCCCCCUGACGGGAGUAGAGAUAUUCCGUCCCUUCGGGGCAGGGGAGACAGGUGGUGCAUGGUCGUCGUCAGCUCGUGUCGUGAGAUGUUGGGUUAAGUCCCGCAACGAGCGCAACCCUUGAUCAGUGUUACCAGCACGUAAAGGUGGGGACUCACUGAUGACUGCCGGUGACAAACCGGAGGAAGGCGGGGAUGACGUCAAAUCAUCAUGCCCCUUAUGUCCUGGGCCACACACGUGCUACAAUGGGCGGUACAACGGGAAGCAAGAGAGCGAUCUGGAGCGAAACCCUAAAAGCCGUUCGUAGUUCGGAUUGCAGGCUGCAACCCGCCUGCAUGAAGCCGGAAUUGCUAGUAAUCGCGGAUCAGCAUGCCGCGGUGAAUCCGUUCCCGGGCCU
rnacentral:rRNA from 1 species